GACGAACGCUGGCGGCGUGCUUAACACAUGCAAGUCGAACGGAAAGGCCCUGCUUUUGUGGGGUGCUCGAGUGGCGAACGGGUGAGUAACACGUGAGUAACCUGCCCUUGACUUUGGGAUAACUUCAGGAAACUGGGGCUAAUACCGGAUAGGAGCUCCUGCUGCAUGGUGGGGGUUGGAAAGUUUCGGCGGUUGGGGAUGGACUCGCGGCUUAUCAGCUUGUUGGUGGGGUAGUGGCUUACCAAGGCUUUGACGGGUAGCCGGCCUGAGAGGGUGACCGGCCACAUUGGGACUGAGAUACGGCCCAGACUGCUACGGGAGGCAGCAGUGGGGAAUAUUGCAAAAUGGGCGGAAGCCUGAUGCAGCAACGCCGCGUGCGGGAUGACGGCCUUCGGGUUGUAAACCGCUUUCGCCUGUGACGAAGCGUGAGUGACGGUAAUGGGUAAAGAAGCACCGGCUAACUACGUG
rnacentral:rRNA from 1 species